GGGGACGAUCGGCUUAGACGGAUCGUUGACUGUAUGAACUGCAAGUGCAGCUGGAAGAACUGCUUAAAAGCUUCCACAGAGAUAAGUGCAAACUUUUCUCAAGAUAGAGCUCUAGCUUACGCUUAAGAGUUCCAUCGCCUCCUAAACGCUCGGCUAGGGAGAUGCGGUGUCAUAAUUCGAGCUUACCUAGAUUCUUUUGGUUAGGAGGAACCUAGGAACAUCAUACUAACCAGGUGGGUAGUCAUUUCUUCUGGCUUUUAGCUUCCCUCCUUAAACCAAGUCAGAAUAAGCUUGUAGACGUUUUUACACGACCGGUCCACACGGCGGUUCGAUUCCGCCCGUCUCCACAC
rnacentral:tmRNA from 1 species